rnacentral:tRNA from 1 species
GGGGGCGUAGCUCAGUUGGCUAGAGCGUUUGACUGGCAGUCAAGAGGUCAGGGGUUCGAUUCCCCUCGUCUCCACAA